rnacentral:rRNA from 1 species
UUCGCAAUGCCCGAAAGGGUGACAAUGCGACGCCGCGUGAGCGAUGAAGGCCUUCGGGUUGUAAAGCUCUGUCAGUCGGGAUGAAUGUUGUGGAAUAACAUUCCACAAUUGCUUGACGGUACCGGCAAAGGAAGCCACGGCUAACUCUGUGCCAGCAGCCGCGGUAAUACGUAGGGUGCUAACGUUGUUCGGAAUCACUGGGCAUAAAGAGCGCGUAAGCGGUCUGAUAAGUCAGGUGUGAAAUCCCCCGGCUUAGCCGGGGAACUGCACCUGAUACUGUUGGGCUUGAGUGCAGGAGGGGAGAGCGGAAUUCCUGGUGGAGCGGUGAAAUGCGUAGAUAUCAGGAGGAACGCCGGCGGCGAAAGCGGCUCUCUGGCCCAUAACUGACGCUGAGUGUGCGAAAGCUAGGGGAGCAAACGGGAUUAGAUACCCCGGUAGUCCUAGCCGUAAACGAUGGGCACUAAGUAGAGGGGUUUU